rnacentral:lncRNA from 1 species
ACAAAAACAAAGAACAAAAUCUAUUCAUCUGAUGACAUGCAUGAUUAAAAGGUCUAGGCAAGGUACACUGCUCUACAUUCCUGAUGACUAAGGAAAAAAAGCUCAAGUCAAUUUAAUCUGCAGAUGGUCAAAGGAUUUUGUAUUCCAGCAGGAGCAGCAGUUCAGAUCUUCUGGAUUUUUUCCCCCACAACUACAGGAUUCUCUUUUCUGAUUUUCUCAGCAGCAUCAGCUUUGUAAUUGUAAGAGCAACUGUGUACAUCUGAAUAGCGGUGCAUGCCACAGUAAACGUUUCCACACCGACACUCAAACCCAGUAAGUCCAACCUUCUUCCUGCACAUGAAACAGCGAUUCUUUUUCUGUUUUGGUUUGUCAAGUGACUUGUCUUGUUCUUCAGGUGUAGGCUCUGCGUUCUCUGACACUGAAGCUUGCAACUCUUCUGUCUCAGGUACUGUUUUGUCCACAGCCGUGCUAUCGGGUUGGGAUGAUGCUACAGAUUCUGUUAGAAGUGACUGACUUGAUACAGGGCUUGGCUGCAUAGAUUGAGUCGAUGAAGAAUCUAAAGUUGACUGAGUUUCCUGGGCACUGCCUUCUGUGCACUGAACCGGUAAGGACUCAGUUAUACUACUGACAGAAGUUGCAGGAGGGCUAAUUCUACCAUUACUGUUCUGCCUCUGAAGAUGUUCUUUGUAGCAUACUGAACACAUGCCAUUUGUCCGAGGGUUCCCAUAAAAUCCGCAACCAGUGGAACAAAGCAUAGGCACUUGGCUACGGUUGGUUUCUUGAGCCAUCUUCUCUUCUUCUACACACCCACGGAUCGCCACAAUUUUCUGUUCGCUUCACCCCAGAUUAACUUCACUUGGAGCUG